AGCCUGGGAUGAUAUUUGUGUAAGAGUAGUGGACAGAAGAGAUUUCUGAGAAGUUGCAAACUGAGGCU
rnacentral:snoRNA from 1 species